GCGCACCAGUCGAGAAUUUUUCUCAAUGGGGGAAACCCUGAAGGAGCGACGCCGCGUGGAGGAUGAAGGUCUUCGGGUUGUAAACUCCUGUCAUUUGGGAACAAGCGCCGGUACGUAACUGCUACCGGCUUGAUAGUACCAGAAGAGGAAGGGACGGCUAACUCUGUGCCAGCAGCCGCGGUAAUACAGAGGUCUCAAGCGUUGUUCGGAUUCAUUGGGCGUAAAGGGUGUGUAGGUGGCGCCGUAAGUGGGGUGUGAAAUUUCGAGGCUUAAACCUCGAAACUGCAUUCCAUACUGCGGUGCUUGAGGACUGGAGAGGAGACUGGAAUUUACGGUGUAGCAGUGAAAUGCGUAGAUAUCGUAAGGAAGACCAGUGGCGAAGGCGGGUCUCUGGACAGUUCCUGACACUGAGACACGAAGGCCAGGGGAGCAAACGGGAUUAGAUACCCGUGUAGU
rnacentral:rRNA from 1 species